UAAAACCUAUUUAAAAUGGCGGCAUUCUAUCUUAUUAGAGGAAUCUGUUUUAUAAUCGACAAUCCACGUUAAUUUUCACUUUAAUUAAAAAUUUAUAUACCGCCAUCUAAAGAAUUAAUCUAUCAAUAUUAUUCCAAAUAAAAAAUAAAAAGUUAGGUCAAGGUGUAAUCAAUAUUAAAGAAAAUAAUGGAUUACAAUAAAAACUAUUUAAGAAUUACUUUACAAAAAUUUACUUUGAAAAAGAAUUUAAAAGUAAUAAUUAAAUAUAAUUUAUAUAUG
rnacentral:rRNA from 1 species